CAGUUAACCAGCCCAGUUUAAUGCUCCAGCCCAGUUAACCAGCCCAGUUUAAUCCUCCAGCCCAGUUAACCAGCCCAGUUUAAUCCUCCAGCCCAGUUAGCCAGCCCAGUUUAACCCCCUGUGCCUCGGCUGUCCCUGCUGGGAGGAAGGAGCAGAACCAGCCACCUUGGUUUGUGCUGUUUGACACUUCUUGGCUUUCCCAGAGGAGCAGCAUCCCAAUGAUUUCCACUGUGGUUGUGUCUCCAGGAGCAGAUUUGAGGAAAUCUCCCCUGGUUGAAUGGGCAGGGACAGGAACAGUGGGAGAACCAGUGUUGGCAGAGCAGUGGAGCUUGAAACCAUCCAACUGGAUAAUCCUCUGGGAUUAUUCUUUGUGCCUCUCUCAGUAAAAACGAGGGCAAAGCAACCCAAGCCAACCCUGAUGUGGUUUUACUUCCCUCUGCUGCUUUGCUGGGUCCCUUUCACACCAAACACAGAACCAGGGACACUCAAACCUCACUGGGAUCUCAAGGUUCCUUCUCACCUCAUGCAAACAGAAUUUGCUGCUGAAUUUUGGGAGAGAAUCAGGCUUUCAUCCUGGCUGAGCAGCCAUUUAUAAAGACAAUCCCCAAUUCUAUUGAUUAUUUCCCCUCUGGCAUAGCCUUGCUUGAUGCUGAAAGCACAGCCAGUUGUUAACCUACUUUUUCAGGGUGAUGUGUCCUCCAGCAUGGAAAGACCCAGGGGGUGUUUGGUUUUUUUUUUUCUCUUUGCAGUCAGAGAGGUUUUUUAUUUUUCAGCUCUGAAACAGGGGGCUGAGGGAGGGAUGAGAUGUGAGAUAAGAAAGAGCUGAAGGCAGCAGGUCACUCACUCAAGAUGCCAAAUCCCAGCUUUUCUGUUCAUCUGCUGUUUCUGGCUUAAUGACAUUUUCAAUACUUUAAUAUUUCAAUACUUUAAAUAUUCAGAAACGGCUCCAUUUGCAGUUACACCUGAAAACAGCUCUAGAAACUCCUUGGGAGGCAGGGAGAACUUUUCAUCCCUGGAUGUUUUACUUCCAGUUAGCCUGGGGAAUUUUUGUUAAAUGGCAAAGAGACCUGACUAAUAGGGAAUCACCAAAUAUUGGGAAGGAAUUCCUCCCUGUGAGGGUGGGGAGCCCCUGGCACAGGUUGGGCAGAGAAUCUGUGGCUGCCCCAUCCCAAGAGGCUGGAAUCAAAUGGGGAAAAAACCAUCUUGAAAGGGAUUUUAGGGCAAAUUACAAAAUGCAAAAGGCUUCCAGAAUGCAGAAUAUUGUUAUAAAUUUAUCUUGUAAGGCAGAAACCGAGAAGAAAAUCUGGCACAUGGGGCUUUGACCCCAGAAAUUACAUUUCCAGGAGGCAGGUAAUGAUUAGACCUGUGCUUGGGCUGGUUCUUUUUUCAUCUGCCUGGCUUUUCUAAUUGAUAAUUUUAAUUUUAAUACUCUGUUGAAGGUGGAUCAGAGCAACAGGAUCAGCAAAGAGCUGCUCAGGAAGAAGGAACAGCACGGAUGGAGCCCUUGGAAGGUCACAGAGAACAUUCAGCACCUUCCACAAGGAACUGGCCCCCAAAGCAGCAUUUUAACCCCCAGAAUGGGCAAUUUCCAAGCACAGCAAAGAAAAGCACGAUGUGGGAAAUGGACUCCCUUGAAACAGAGUUGCCUUCGGGGCAGUUUGUGCUCAUUACAACACGCUGGAACAAAAUAAAUAUUAUUUGAUUGUAAAA